rnacentral:rRNA from 1 species
AUGUUACCUAAAAAACAUCUAUCUGGCUGUGAGAAAAGAAACAACAAGAAAAGAGUAGACAAGUUGAUUAAAUCUCAGGAAGGCGCUAUGGAUAUGUUUGUCUUGAGGACUGGUGCUGCUACAAAUUCAGAGCAAUUAUAUAUCACAAAUGGUGAAGAAAAACCUGAUGAUACUAAGAAUGCCGUUGAGGAAAAUCAUGUCGAGAAAAAUAAUGCUGCGGAAAAUGAUGCCGAUCAGCACACGGAAAAUUUUAGUGACCAUGAGAAUCUUGGAAAUGCAGAUGAGCAGGGUUCUUCUUUUGAUAUAUAUGAUCCUAGAACUUGGAAUAUUCUUGACAAUAAAUCAAGAGAUAUUCUCAUUGAAAAAGGACCUAUAAGGGAAUACAAUCUUGUGUUUCCCGAAGAUGAAAUUAGUGGCAGGCAUUUUUCAUAUGAUUACUACACAAGAAAGUUAAGGAAUGGCGAGUUCAGUGAUCGUAGGUGGUUAGUGUACUCUAAACACGUGAAUAAAGUCUACUGCUUUUGUUGCAAAUUGUUUAAAUCUGGAAAAAGCAAAAGUCUGCUAGCAUCCGAGGGAUUGAAGGAUUGGAGACAUCUUAGUGAGAAGCUCAAAUUGCAUGAGAAUAGUGUUGAGCAUAUCACUAACAUGAAUACUUGGAAUGAGGUAAGGCUGAGGCUAAGUAAGAAGGAAACAAUUGAUAAAGACAUGCAACAAGAGAUUUCAAGGGAGAAGGAGCGAUGGAGACUUGUUUUAAUUAGAAUUGUUGCUGCUGUGAAAUUUCUUGCUAAACAUAGUCUGGCUUUUCGAGGAUCGAAUGAGAAAUUAUAUCAAGAUAACAACGGAAAUUUUUUGGGAGUAAUUGAAAUGAUGGCAGAAUUUGAUCCUGUAAUGCAAGAGCAUCUUCGGCGCAUUAAGAAUAGUGAAAUCCAUCAUCAUUAUCUUGGCCAUAAUAUUCAGAAUGAGUUAAUUUCCCUUCUUGGUCGCACUGUUAAAUAUUUUCUGUUGAGGAUAAUUAAGGAUGCAAGGUAUUUCUCUGUCAUCUUGGACUGUACACCUGACGUGAGCCAUCAAGAACAAAUGACUCUAAUUGUGAGGUGCGUAAACAUGUCAAGUACUACUACAAAAAUAGAGGAGUUUUUUCUGGAGUUCUUGAAGGUGGAUGAUACAUCCGGACUUGGACUUUAUAAUGUUUUAAUAGAUUCACUUAAAUCUGUUGGUUUGGAUGUUAAAGAUGUUCGUGGACAAGGGUAUGACAAUGGUUCGAACAUGAAGGGAAAACACCAAGGGGUACAGAGCAGACUACUUGAAACUAAUCCAAGAGCAUUAUUCAUGCCAUGCGCUUGUCAUAGCCUGAACCUUACUCUUAGUGAUAUGGCAAAAUCUUGCGGUAAAGCUAUUACCUUCUUUGGUGUUGUGCAAAUAAUUUAUAUAUUGUUUUCAAGCUCUACUAAAAGAUGGCAGCUAUUGCUUGAUCAUGUUCCAAAAAUGACAGUUAAGUCUUUGUGUAACACUCGAUGGGAGAGUCGAAUAAAGAGUGUUCAGGCUAUCAAAUAUCAAGCACCCGAGUUAAGAAAAGCAUUACUGGAAUUGAAGAGAACUUCUACCGAUGACGCCAAGACUAAGAACUGA